GUUUCGACACACUAUCAUUAACUGAAUCCAUAGGUUAAUGAGGCGAACCGGGGGAACUGAAACAUCUAAGUACCCCGAGGAAAAGAAAUCAACCGAGAUUCCCCCAGUAGCGGCGAGCGAACGGGGAGGAGCCCAGAGCCUGAAUCAGUGUGUGUGUUAGUGGAAGCGUCUGGAAAGGCGCGCGAUACAGGGUGACAGCCCCGUACACAAAAAUGCACAUGCUGUGAGCUCGAUGAGUAGGGCGGGACACGUGGUAUCCUGUCUGAAUAUGGGGGGACCAUCCUCCAAGGCUAAAUACUCCUGACUGACCGAUAGUGAACCAGUACCGUGAGGGAAAGGCGAAAAGAACCCCGGCGAGGGGAGUGAAAAAGAACCUGAAACCGUG
rnacentral:rRNA from 1 species